rnacentral:rRNA from 1 species
GGAUUAGAUACCCUGGUAGUCCACGCCGUAAACGAUGAGAACUAGACGUUGGGUACUUGUACCGGGUGUCGCAGCUAACGCAUUAAGUUCUCCGCCUGGGGAGUACGGCCGCAAGGUUGAAACUCAAAGUAAUUGACGGGGGCCCGCACAAGCGGUGGAGCAUGUGGUUUAAUUCGAUGCAACGCGAAGAACCUUACCUACACUUGACAUCAUCAGAACUUGUUAGAGAUAACUCGGUGCCUUCGGGAACUGAUUGACAGGUGCUGCAUGGCUGUCGUCAGCUCGUGCCG